CUCCUGCUUCAGCCUCUCAAGUAGCUGAGAUUACAGUACACUUUGUACUUUAAUAUGCAAACUGCCUGCCUGCUCCAGAGAAGCAGCCUUUGUUCCUCAGUUCAUCGCAACACUCAGCCUGUCAGUCAGGUUGUGGGAUCCCUCCUAUCCAGGAACUGUAUGCUGUUGUCCCGGUUCUGACACUUUCCCUCUGAGUCCUUGGACACCUUACCUAACCUCUUGGAAGCUCCUGUCUGUGAAGGGUGUGCACAGAGAGCUUCGGUAGCCUGCGAAGCAGCCAUUUUCACUUCCACGGAGCAGAUGCUGGCCUGGGUGCUGGAAUAUGGAAAUGAGGAAGAUCCUGCCUGAGGAUUUCAUGACAGUGCUGCGAUUACCGACGUGAGCCACUGUGCCCAGCCUCACUUUAAAAAAAAAAAAAGGUUAUGAAGCAUCUCAACACAAGACCUCCUUUGCUCAUCACAACCACCCAGUGAAGCAGGCAAGACAACAGAAACUCCCCACCUGUGAUAGAUGUGAGGCCUGAAGUCUCCCACAUACCCACGGCAGAUGCAACGCACAGCGGUGACCAAUGGUGAAGGAUCUAAAACCUGAAAAGAGGCCAAAUGAUUCCUCAAAACCACGCAAGUACGAAGUAGCAGAGCGGAUCUCAAAUCCAGGUUGCCCUGCUGAUGUCAUGCCUGACCAUAUGACUUGCUCCAGCCAAUGAAAUGUAAGCAGAAGUGACAUAUGCAGCAUGACCAGUGGAAGCUUCGAAGAGCUAUUGCCAAUUUCCACCCUCUCUCUGGAAACUGUCAUUAGGGUUAGGGAAACUGUCAUGAGAUCUGCAUAUUUUAGAUAGAGGCUGCUUGCCUUAUUUGGGCACCUAAUGAAAAAGACAUGGAGGCCAGGUGCGGUGGCUCAUGUCUGUAAUCCCAGCACUUUGGGAGGCCAAGGCGAGUGGAUCACCUGAGGUCAGGAGUUCGAGACCAGCCUGACCAACAUGGCAAAACCCCGUCUGUACUAAAAGUGCAAACACAAAGGGAACUGCGUGGCUUGUUUCUACCUGAACAUUGUCAAGUGAUUUCAUCCUUUGAAACACAGUUGUGAAGUGUGUCCAGCAGUCUGAGAACAAGAAGAAGAAGAAAAUCUAAUCCUUCAGGGUGUCUGUGUGCCAGCCCUGCUCUCAGCACUUCCCAUGUGGAACUCCUUUACUUCUCCUAACAACUCCAUGACAUGGGUUAGACUGUGAUUGUUCCCAUAUUGUUGGUAGGGAAACUGAGGCAUGCAGGUGUUACAGAGCUCUCUCAAGUGGCAAGCUUUCUGGGUGGUUACAGAGUGGCAGAGCUGGGGUAUCCCAUGAUGUCACCACACUGCUAUAUGGAAAAGAACAUUAAUCGAGCACCUACGUGCUUGAUUCUCUUAAUUCUGUGACUGAACUCUCAAAACACCCUGGGUUGGUUUCCUUUUUACAACUGCCCAAGUCAUGAGUUCAUAGGGCCUGGAUGGCUGUACCGGAUUGCUCUCCAGCUGGUCUCUCUGCAUCCAGAAAUUUCUACAACCUACUGGGGUAAAAUCUUUCUCAACCCUGCUUUUCAUCAUCACAUCUUAAAUAUCUCGAGUUGGUUCCCUAUUGCCAAAAAAAAUCCAUUGUCCAUGUAGGGUUCUUCUGCCGAAACGAGGAAAGAGUGAGUUAAAUGUUGGUAGGUGAUAUAGAGAUAGUAAUUAGGCAAUAUAAUUCGAUGUUGUUGAAAGAGCUGAGCUAUGAAAUGCAUUGUGAUAAAGGGGCUGCCUGUGUAAGUAAAUGGGUAUAAUGAGGUGUAAAACUCCCUUUCUCUCUCUCUUUCUGCUUCAUAAGCCUUUCUGCUUCUCAAGUCCAGACCUGCUGUUUUUGGGGUUUCCUUCCAAUUUUUUUGCUGCUUCCCUGGGGCCUUGGCUCUUGGGCCUGCUGCCUCUUCCCACUCUACACCUUUGGAUUCCUUAUCUUUGGCUCCACCUUAUUGCUCCAUUCUCCAAAGACAAAUCCACAAGGCAUAGGAUUUUACAGAAUAUGGGGUUACAGAAACAGCAUAGGGAAGUGUAAAAGCCUAGAAGCUUCUUACAGACGCAGCCCCUUGUCUGUAGCUCCUGACUCCCACUUAAAUGUCUGUUGGAAGCACCCUGGGGUAGCAGAACCCAGCUCAGAAGAUGGGGCUUAUCCACCAUGCCUUUUCCUAACCUGACACCCACCCAGAUAAUCUUUUCAAUAUGCAAACUAGAGCGUAUCACCCCCUGCUCAGAGCCUUUCUGUGACCUCCCAUUUUGCUUCCCAGGACUCCUUGCUCCUUAGCCAGGUCUCCAGGUCCUCCGUGAUCAGGUCUCUGCUCUUCUGCAGCCUCAUCUCUGCCAUUCUUCACCUUUUGUGCUCCAACCCAAUCUGGUUUUCUUCUCAUGCUUUGAACACCCCAAGUCUGUCUGCUUCAGGAGCUUCGUACUGGCUAAUCAUUCACCACAGCAUACUCCCAUCUAUACGGCUGGCUCUUAUAUUAUGGGUCUCAGCUAAAAUGUCAUCCCUUCAAAGAGACCUUCUUGGACCACCCCCGCCAUUCUCUAUCCUAUUUCUCUCUUUUAUUUUCUUUGAAGCACUUACCCACUUUCAGAAACUAUCUGGCUUGCUCAUGUGUUUGUCUCUAGAUUGUCUACUUCCCCUCCUAGACUGUACUCUCCACAAGAGAGCAAAGCUGUGUCUGUUGCAUUCACUGUUGUCUUCCCAGAAGCAAGCAGCAUGCUGGAGACCCUCAAAUACAUGUGAAAUGAAGGGACACCUUGUGUUAUUUCACCUGUUUCCACCUGGUUCCCAAGUGGCAAGCUUGCAUUGAGGUUACAAAGUGGCAAAGCUGGGAUAUCACAUGAUGUCACCAUGAUGCUAUAUGAAAUGUAACAUUAAUUGAGUACCUAUGUGACCAGUUCUUUAAUUCUGUAAGUGAACUCUCAAAAAACCCUAGGUAAGUAUUAUCAACUCGAACUUUAACGGAUGAGGAAACUGGAAUUUUUUAAAAAAUGACUUAACCAAACAUCACAGAGCUGUAAACCAGGAUUUGAAUGGGUGAGCUGCACUCAGCCUUCAUCUCAAGUCAGUUUGCCUCUUUCUCCAAGAAGCCACAGUUGAUCCUGACCACAUCACAUAUGAGUUGCCUGGAUUGCAGUCAUUCAUUCACUAAGCAUCUUUUAGGAGGUCACAUGCCAGGCACCGUGUUAGGUAAUGAUUUCUCCAAGUCACAGGAGCCGUGGUUCUGACUUUAGAAAGUUUCUCAUCUGAUGGGAGGGCAGGCAAGUAAAUCAGUAAGGGUGGUCCCUGUCGGGACACUGGUUGAGAAAUACCCAGGAACACUCUGAUUGAGAAAUACCCAAAGUGCAAAGUGACAGGGACUAGAGGCAUCUCCACUGGACCAGAGAGCUCUGGAUUCGUCUUGAGCUAAGUCUCUGGAGGUAGGUGUCAGCUACAAGGAGAAAAGCUGUAUAUUUUGAGAUAUGGGAUGCAGGGCCUUUUAGUUCCAUAAAUAAGAGAACUAUGGUGUGAAUACCACAUGCCCUGGGCUGAACUAAGUGGGCUCUAGGGGAAGGUAUACUGGGCAGGGAGUUUGGAGAACUGGUUUCUGUCUAAUCCUUCUCUAACUCUGUGACCUUGAAUGCAUCAUUUCCCCUCUGAGUCUCAGAUUCUCUUUCUGGCUGGCAUUUAAUGAAACCUAAAUAUUCUAGACCUUCUACUUGUUCCAUAAGUGCUCAGUCCUACACUCACUCUCCUCUGGCACCAAUAUACUGAUUACUCAUUUUAUGCCCAGCAGAGCACUGCGUGUUUUGAAAUAUACAAAUAGUGGGAAACGAAAUCUUUGUUCUGGAUGCAGUUAUAAUUUGGAAAGCGAGGAAAUAAAUUAUAACAAGGGGAAAAAACAGACACAGAGGGAUUGAAAUGCAUAACAAUAGAGAUGAAACACGAAGAGUGAUAAAUGAAGAUUGAGUGUGCACACCUUCUGGAGGAGCCCUGAUUGAGUAUUUUAAAAUACUACUAAAGUCAUGCCGUGUGACUUCUGAAGCUAGCUCCUAAGAAGUCCUUGCAGCUUCUGCCUGCGACUCUUAGAACACUUGCUUUGAAGGAUGCCAGAUGCUGUCUUAAAAGUCUGAGCACUCUGAAACCAUCAUGCUGUGAGGAAGCCCAAGCUAACCACAUGGGCAAAAAAGAUGCCCUCUGACUGCCACCAUUUGAGACACUCUAAUUAAGAACUGCCUCAUUGAGCCCAUGAGGCCCUGUGAAUGAUAAUAAUAAAUUGUUUUUAACCACUAUGUUUUUGGAUUUGUUAUAAGUUUAUAGAUAACAAGAAAAAGUUAUAUUAGCAUGGUAAUAAAAUUAUGGAUAUGUGUAAGUUUGGUGUUUUGUUUCUUUUUUUUUUUUACACUAAGCCUAUAUUACUGUUGUAAUUUAGGAAAUCACUUGUUUUCCUCCAGCACUUCAAUGUAAGAGUGGCACUACUUAGAAUGUACUUCUUAAGAUAUGGCU
rnacentral:lncRNA from 1 species